GUGAAUCAUCGAAUUUUUGAACGCAAAUUGCACUCUCCGGUUUUCCGGGAGAGUAUGCCUGUUUGAGGGUCAGCCUAAAAAAAAUUGACAUAGUUGCUGUUUCGCGGUGACAUUCGUCGGAAAUUGGGUCAUCUUAAACCUUAGGGUUUUAAGCGGCUUAAAAUUUUCUUUACGAUUACACGAACGUUUCUAAGAUUUACUUACACGUUUAAGGUAUCGAUCUUUAUUAGACGUGACCGUCGCAUCGGAUUGCGUUCAUAAAUCUUUCG
rnacentral:misc_RNA from 1 species